CAAGUAGGUGGUCUCAUUUGUCUGGGGUGAAAGCCUUGAGCUUAACUCAAGAAGUGCCCCGGAAACGGUGAGACUCGAGUACUGGAGAGGGUCGUGGAAUUCCCGGUGUAGCGGUGAAAUGCGUAGAGAUCGGGAGGAACACCAGAGGCGAAGGCGGCGACCUGGACAGUUACUGACACUCAACUGCGAAAGCGUGGGGAGCAAACAGGAUUAGAUACCCUGGUAGUCCACGCUGUAAACGAUGGGAACUAGGUUUGGCGGGUCUUGACCCCUGCCGAACCGGAGCUAACGCAAUAAGUUCCCCGCCUGGGAAGUACGGUCGCAAGACUAAA
rnacentral:rRNA from 1 species